rnacentral:rRNA from 1 species
AUGCUGCGCUGCUACUUCGGCGGGUCGCCAACAAGAGCAGAUCAUACUGCAUCAGGGAACUGCAAUCUUUCUACUGCUGCUGCUGGUGGUGCAAUCGUAGUUGACGCCGAGGAUAUGUCAUACACGCUCAAGAUAGCGGGAUACUCGAGAACCAAGGCGCUGCUCGAGACCGGCAAGUGGGCAACAUCUACUCCUUUUCGCAUUGGAGGCCAUGUUUGGACCGUGCGUUAUUGCCCAAACGAUGAUGCCGAUUUCAUGUCUAUUUACCUGGUUCUUGAUUCUGAGGGUGCCAAUAAGGAUGUCAAGGUGAGAUGCAAGUUCAGUGUGCUCGACAAGGCCGGGGUGCCAGUGCCUUCUCUAAGCCGUGCCUACAAGUCCGUACAGACCUUCACGCCAAAAGCUUCCACCUGGGGCUACAGCAAAUUUAUCAGCAAGGCGGAUUUGGAGGGGUCGCCGCAUGUCAUAGACGAUUGUUUCACCAUCAGAUGCGAUGUCACCGUCUUGAAGGAGAUCCGUUGCGAGGAAAUUACAAAGCUUAAACGACAGUUUGUAGUGGUUCCUCCUAGCAACAUGUGCCGGGACCUCGGCGGUCUCCUCGAGAGCAUGGAUGGAGCAGACGUCACCUUUCACGCGGAGCUAUUCGGCUCCAUGAUGGAGAAUGCUGGUGAUCCGGUUGAGAUCGGCGAUAUGGAGAGCGACGUGUUCAAGUCAUUGCUGCAUUUCAUAUACACUGACGACUCACCGCCUGAGAUGACCCGUGACGUGGUGAUGGCUGGCCAUUUACUCGUUGCGGCUGACAGGUACGAUGUUGAGAGGUUGAAACUGAUAUGCGAGGACAAGUUGUGCACUCACAUUGACUCCGACAACAUGGCGACUAGCUUAGCUUUAGCUGUACAACAUAGUUGCCCUGGACUAAAGGAAGACUGCUUUGAGUUCCUUGCCCCUCCUUCCAAUUUUGAGGCUAUGGUGGCAAAUGAUGGUUAUGAGCAUCUGAAAAGCAGUUGCCCGUCCGUUCUCAAGGAGCUGAUUGCUAGAUUCUUACCCGCUGAGCUAAAAGCGGCCAAGGAUAUCAUCAUGAAAUUCUUAGUACCCCACAGCGUGUGA